rnacentral:sRNA from 1 species
ACUGGGCAUGGUGGCACAUGCCUGUAAUCCCAGCAGCUCGGGAGGCUGAGGCAGGAGGAUUGCGAGUUCAAAGCUGGCCUCAGCAAAAACGAAGCACUAAGUGACUCAGUGAGACCCUGUCUUUU